AUGACAAUCACCAGCAAUAUUCCUCCAAGGUACGGCGUUGAGUUAGCAAGAGACCCAAAUGACAAGAUCAUGAACUGCUGGAUCAGGGCACCUCCAGAUUUUCCCAAUGGGUUGCAUACCACAUCUAUUGCUGCCUUACCUUUGACCUAUAUGAAAAUGUUCUGUAGUGCCCCAACGAAGACCGCAGCAAGCAAAGGCGUCAUCCCAAACGUGGCUAGAAGAGGAGUGAGUGGCUCACCAAACAGAAGCAGUGAGAAGAAUCCAACUCCAGUGACAAGCAACACUGCAGGGGUGAUUGUAGCUGCAACUCCCCACCCGAAUUUUCUAAGAAUUAAUCUCCCCAACAACAUCAUUGUAAACGUAGCUAUGCCAGUAGCCGUUGAGAAAUCACCCAUGAAUGAAGAAUACUCGUUAGGACUUGGGAACUGCAACAGAACAACAUAA
rnacentral:rRNA from 1 species